UGAGUAAGCCAGAUGAUCGCGUGUGCAUUUAUGCAUACGAGGAAAGUCCGGGCUCCAUAGGGCAGGGUGCCGGGUAACCCCCGGUGGAGGCAACUCUAAGGAUAGUGCAACAGAGAUAUACCGCCAUUGAGAGGUAUCUCACUUCUCAAUAGGUAAGGGUGGAAAGGCGAGGUAAGAGCUCACCAGCGGUUAGGUAACUAACCGGCUAUGUAAACCCCACUUGGAGCAAGACCAAAUAGGGAGGCAGUUGAAGCCUGGGCUUCAACAGGAACGGCCCGUUCCGCUUCCGGGUAAGGUCGCUUGAGCUUGCCGGUGACGGUAAGCCUAGAUAGAUGAUCAUCUAAUACAGAACCCGGCUUAUAGACUUACUCAGAAA
rnacentral:RNase_P_RNA from 1 species